GAUGAACGCUGGCGGUGUGCCUAAUACAUGCAAGUCGAGCGGCAAGACCAUGAGAUCUCUCCCCUGACGUUAGCGGCGGACGGGCGAGUAACGCCUGGAUAACAUACUUCUAAGACUGGGAUAACAUCGGGAAACCGCAGAUAAUACCAGAUAAUAUAUUUAACCGCUGGGUUCAAGAGAGAAUCACGGUUUUGCUGACACUCUUAGACGGAUCCGCGCCGCCUUAGCUAGUGGGUAAGGUCACAGCUUACCAAGGCAACGAUGCGUAGCCGACCUGAUAGAUUGAUCAGCCACACUGGAACUGAGACACGGUCCAGACUCCUACGGGAGGCAGCAGUAGGGAAUAUUCCACAAUGGGCGCAAGCCUGACGCAGCAACGCCGCGUGAGUGAUGAAGGUCUUCGGAUCGUAAACCUCUUUUAUUAGGAAAGAACAGAUGUGUAAGAAGUUAUGCAUGUAUUGACGGUACCCAAAAAAUAAGCACCGGCUAACUCCGUG
rnacentral:rRNA from 1 species